CACAUUCAAUCAGCUCAUCUAUAGAUUGGGCAAUUGUACAAAAAUUGUUCGGCAAAGUGAUCAAUCCCGUUGAAUUUCUCGGAGAAGCAGAUUGGAGUUUCAAUCACCCAUACUUUCAAUGGCAAUUUUAAUGCAGAGUAUGCGGUCCGACCACCUUCUUAUAAUGUAGCAGCAAUUCCCGAAGAUGCAAGUGCCAAUUCAAUUUUCCGAUCCGAUCGAAUAGUCGCUAAAUUCAAUAAUACAACGAAAGUUUUGCCUGUACCACCAGGUGCAUCCAAGAAAUAUAAUGAACCUGUAUUAUUGGAAACGGCUUGCAUGAUUGUGUCAUUCAGAUGUUUUUGUUGAAUAUUCAAUUUGGUUAUAUUCGAUUGUACAAAUAAACGUAAAUUAUUAAAAUUGAA